CCCUUAGAUGUCCUGGGCUGCACGCGCGCUACACUGGAAGUUACGGAUUGAGAUACUACCUUGUCCGAAAUGGUCCGGGUAAUCACCUAAAAGCUUGUCAUAAUUGGAAUGGAUUAUUGUAACUAGUAAUCCUGAACGAGGAAUUCCUAGUAAGUCCCAGUCAACAGCUGGUACUGAUUACGUCCCUGCCCUUUGUACACACCGCCCGUCGCUACUACUGAUUGGACGUUUAAGCAAGAUUUUUAAACACUGACAGUGUGUAGUUCACGCUAUACUACAGUGAGAAGAAGAAGAUCGAGCUUACUUGUCUAGAGGAAGGUGAAGUCGUAACA
rnacentral:rRNA from 1 species